rnacentral:tRNA from 1 species
GAGGGUAUAGCUCAGUAGUAGAGUGUGUGCUUAGCAUGCACAAGGUCCUAGGUUCAAUCCCAACUACCUCCA